UGGUGGUCGACGUGGCCGGGGGCAGGGCCGUGGUCGCGGUCAACCUUCGCAGUCUUCCUCUCGCGGCGGCGGCGGUAGAGCAAGAGGCCGUGGAUCAUCUGGUUCUACUGCAACUUAUAAUCCCCCUCCUCCUCAAAUGGCUCCGGCUCAGCCACCUCCUCAAAUGGCUGUAGCUACGCCAGUUCCUCCAUCGGGGGCCCCUUUUUCUCAUCCUUCUUCAAGUUCUGGUGUAGGAUCACUUUCCAGAGAGGUAUCGGAGAAGCUUACAAUGGAGCCGGUGGCUGUGACUACGGCGCCUCCUCUUCCUCCGUCGUCGUCAAAGGCGAUUAGGUUCCCUCCAAGACCGGGGUUCGGCACGGUCGGUACAAAGUGUGUGGUUAGGGCCAACCAUUUUCUCGUAGAUGUUGCUAAUGCCGAUCUUCAUCACUACGAUGUAACUUUCUUUCUCGCAUGUCUCCCUAUUUGAUUUUAAGCCUGUAUUUUUUCUCGACAUUUUUGGCUUGUUGUUCUAAUCGGUUUUUUUUUUUUAUAUUUGUUAAAAUUUUCUUUCUUUUUUGCUUGUAUAUGUCUGCUUCCUUCCUUUUGACCUAUCUAUGGAUUUAAGUUUUCAGUAAUUACUUUGAAAAACCGAGGGAAACCUUCACUGUUAAUGGCUUGCUUAAACGAAUUCCACUUGUUUAGAUCAUAUUUUUUGAAUUCUAAUGUUUUCAUGUUUCUGUUCUCUUAUUCAUUUACCUUGUUCAUCCCUGAUACUUGCAUUUUCUUCUCCAAUAUUUUAAUCGCUAGUUUUCCUUGUCAUUUUUCUGCCUUGUUUUAAUCGUUUUAUAUUUUGGCACUUCUUAGAGCUCUGUUUUUUAUCCGACUUUACUAUACACUGAAGGUUUUAGUAGUUGCUUUUCCUUAAAAAAACCCAAGGGAAAGUUUAACUGUUAAUGAUUUGCUUGACUGAGUUGGGCUUUUUGUUAUUUAUUGUCUCGUUAAAUUUUAUUUUCAUUGGAUUUUAAUGUGUAUUUUACUCAUCUGUUUUCUUAUUUAUUUACUUGUCUCUUUGUCCAUCUCUGUUACUUGCAUCUUCUUCUCGUCUCUUUUGAUGGCCUUUGGUGCUUCAUUGCUUAUAGGUUACUAUAACGCCUGAGGUAACCGCAAAAAAGGUUAACAGAGCAAUAAUGAAGCAACUUAUUGAUGUAUACAAAGAGUCGCAUCUUGGACGUCGGUGUCCAGCUUAUGAUGGCAGGAAGAGUUUGUACACUGCUGGUCCUCUUCCCUUCGAGUCAAAGGAGCUUGUUAUCAAGCUACCUGAGGAAGAUCGCAGUGCUGGUUCGUCUAGGCCUGCGCGGUAAUAUUAUUGUAUCCUAUGAUGGUCUCAUGACAUUUUACAUUUUAUCCGAUGUCAUUAUUGCUUACCUGUGAUCUUUCUGGUUGCCUGUCACUGCAGGAAGGAGCGACAAUUUAAGGUUGCAAUCAAAUUGGCCUCCAAGCCAGACCUUCAUUAUCUGAGGGAGUUUCUGAGCAGAAAGCAUUUUGAAUGCCCUCAAGAAGCUAUUCAAGUUCUGGAUGUUGUUCUUAGAGCUAAACCAUCUCAGACGUAACUGCCUGUUGAUUGCUGUUAAACAUUGCUUGCUGUUAAAUUGCUGAAACCAUUUUAUAUGACAUCAAAUUAAUACAUUUGAAACAUCAUUUGGCAGAUAUACUGAGGUGGGAAGGUCUUUUUUCCAUACAUCAUUAGGUCCUAGAGGAGAACUUGGUAAUGGAAUAGAAUACUGGUCUGGAUAUUAUCAGAGUCUUCGACCCACUCAGAUGGGUUUAUCUCUUAAUAUUGGUAGGUACUUUGAUUGCUCAGUUUGUGUAGCCACUUUGUUCCUAAUGUUUCAGUAUGAAGAUUUACUGGUUUUGCUUUGCAGAUGUGUCUGCUCGAUCAUUCUAUGAGCCAAUUUUAGUUUCAGAGUUUGUUGCGAAACAUUUCCGACGAUCAAACCUGUCAAAGCCGCUGUCUGAUCAAGAUCGUAUUAAAGUAUUAUUACACUGUUUUCUUGCCCUUCGUAUAUAUUGAAUUCAGUGUUUAUUAAUCAAAACUUGCAGAAUAUUUUUGGAAUGCUUCUUUUGCUGUAUUCUUUAGGUGAAAAAGGCCUUGAAGGGAGUAAGAGUUAAGCUCAUCUACAUGGAUUAUGCCAAAACUUGCAAGAUUAUUGGAGUAUCUAGAGACCCUAUAAGCCAGUUGACGUGAGUUUGUUGUUAUAAUACUAUACGUGCUCAAAAAUAUUUUUAGUAAGCUACUUUUAUGUGGCCUGUGUGGUAGAAUUGUUUUUGGGUUAUUUGUAGUCUUGUAUUCACUACUUAUCUAAGUUCCAUCUUCAAAUUGAGUUGGUUUUUUUUUUUUUUUUUGUGGUUGACAGUUUUUAGUAUUUGGCUUGGUUAUGUCUUGUUCUAAAAUAUUGUUUAUGCUUGUGCAUUUGUAAAAUCUUGUGCUAUGGUAUAUUUGUCCCAUUCUGUCUCAUUAUGCUUCUGUUCAAUUUUUGGCUUUUUUAGAUUUACUCAUGAUGAUAAGAGAACAAAUGUCUCUGUGGUCAAGUAUUUCCGUGAGAAAUACAAUGUUGUGCUUAAAUAUCCAUCCUUGCCUGCACUUCAAAGUGGAAGCGAAGCUAGACCUGUCUACCUGCCAAUGGAGGUUUUUACUUUAUAUCAAGAUCUUGUUUUUUGUUUUCUUUUUGUUUGUUACUGAUUCUCUUGUAUGAUUUUGUUUUACAGCUUUGUAGUAUCGUUGAGGGUCAAAGAUACACAAAAAAACUAAAUGAACAACAAGUUAGAUCUCUGCUGAGAGCAACUUGUCAACGUCCGAACAUUAGGGAGGGGAAUAUUACAAAGGUACUACAGUUUUGGAUGCUUAUUAUUUUUUAAAUUUGUUGAUAAGAUGAGAAUUGUGAUUCAUUUGGCAUUUCAUGUUUCUGCAGAUGGUCCAGGUCAAUAAUUUUGAGGUGGAGGAGCUUGUUACUAAAGAAUUUGGAAUGCAUGUUCGCAAAGAACUUGCAUUGAUUAAUGCACGAGUUCUAAAUCCUCCAGUGGUACUUAUAUGCCAAUAUGUUAUAUUUUCAAGGAUACUGUCCGUCUUAUAAUAAGAUUAAUGUCGGUUUUGGUUGCUGCAGCUAAAGUAUCACGAUAGUGGACGUGACAAAAUUGUUAAUCCUAGCUGUGGGCAAUGGAACAUGAUCAACAAGGUGAUUUUUUUUUCUUCCCCUCUUAUUCUUUGAAGUGGCAUUAUUUGUAAAAUUUAAGGAAUUAGACCUGUCUCUUCAGUCUCCUCUUGUUCCAGAGUUCUUGUUCAUUUUUUUUCAAUUCAUUUUUAAGGUUUGCAGCGUCUCUUCUUUGCAGUUUAGUGUAGCUGUAAGUCUUUUGGGAAAAUUUUGCUAGGUUUUAAGGUUCAACAUUUUUUUUGCAGAAAAUGGUCAAUGGGGGUAAAGUUGAUUUCUGGUCUUGUGUGAACUUCUCCUCUGAAUAUAGGAAUAUGUCAGAAGACUUCUGUGCGGGGCUGGUGAAUAUGUGUAACAGCAAAGGAAUGGUAUGCUGUGUGGUUUUUUUAGUGUAGGUGGAUGGUACAUCUGUUAUUUAUUCAUCACUAGCUUGAUUUCCGAUUUUGUUACUCUAGGUGUUUCGCCAAACUCCUUCAAUUGCAAUGCGAUCAGCUCGUGCUGAUCGAAUUGAUCAGACUCUCAUGGAUGUAUACAAAGAGUCUGCAGGCUUGAAUAAGCCACUUAAGUUGUUGAUAAUUAUCUUACCUGAUCAGACUGGCUCAUAUGGUAAGAAAUUCUGAUGUUUUGUAAAUAGGUAAUUCCUGGGGUUUCUUUGCGCAACUCUAAUCUUUUUGUUUGCAGGAAAAAUAAAGCGAAUUUGUGAGACGGAGCUAGGUAUUGUUUCACAAUGUUGUAAGCCUGCGCAAGCUUCAAAGUUUAGCAACCAAUAUUUUGAAAAUGUUGCUCUCAAGAUCAAUGCUAAGGUAUCUGUUUUGCCUCACUGGUGGUGAUUUGAUAUAGUGGUUUCUUGUCUUGCUAUCUUCUUUUAAAUCAUUUGAGAAUUGUAAAUUCUGUAGGUUGGGGGGAGAAAUACUGUGCUGAACGAUGCUGUUUUAAGGAGAAUUCCGCUUGUGACUGAUGUCCCUACAAUCAUUUUUGGGGCAGAUGUCACUCAUCCGCCGCCUGGCGAAGACUCUAGUUCUUCUAUAGCUGCAGUAAGCAUAUUCAUUAUUCUCUAUCAUCCCCAUUUUGUUACUUGAUCAUAUUUAAGAGGUUAUUGGCUGGCUGCAGGUCGUUGCUUCAAUGGAUUGGCCUGAGGUAACCAAGUAUCGUGGAAUUGUCUCUGCACAGACUCACCGGGUGGAAAUAAUCGAGGAUCUUUAUAAACAAACUAGGGAUCCACAGAAGGGUUUAGUUGAGGGUGGAAUGGUUAGGUAGGGAGAUAGAUUUAUUUCAGGCUUAAAUUUUUAGUUUCUUCUGGAAGUGCUCUACUUUCUUAACAUUUCAAGUUCUCUGCAGGGAGUUGCUUCUUGCUUUCUACAGGUCAACGAAACAAAAGCCUUCUAGAAUUAUCUUCUAUAGGUAAUGUUUGCUUUUGACCAUCCAAAUCUAUGUAUAUAUUUCUAGCAGCAGUGCUGAUAUCUGAUUUUUGAUGUGUGGCAGAGAUGGUGUUAGUGAAGGACAAUUCAGCCAAGUUUUGCUUUAUGAAAUGGAUGCGAUUCGGAAGGUAUUGAAAUCACUGUAUAAUUUCUAUUAUAGUUAGUUCACUGUAUAAUGGAUGCAAUGAUUUUUGGUGUUUGGGCCUUCUGACCCCCGCAGUUUUCUUCCUUCCAGGCUUGUUCCUCGCUACAGGAAGGAUAUAUGCCUCGGGUUACAUUUGUUGUGGUUCAAAAGAGGCAUCAUACUCGCUUAUUCCCUACUGAUCGCAACAAAACUGAUAGGAGUGGCAACAUAUUACCAGGUGAUUCUAAUCUUAUAAUAGGGAUUUGAUCGUAUUCUCUUGAUCUUCAUUUUGUUAGCAUAUUUUAAUGUAGCCAAUAACUUUUAGGUACUGUUGUGGAUACUAGCAUCUGUCAUCCAACUGAGUUUGAUUUUUAUCUCAAUAGUCAUGCUGGAAUCCAGGUAAAAUGAGGCCUUCCCUUGAAGUGUGAUGGUUUUUAUGUUAAUUUUGUCCGAUCUGAUAUUGAUAUUGAUGUUGUUGUGUAGGGGACAAGCAAGCCCACACAUUACCACGUUUUGUUGGAUGAAAAUGGCUUCAGUGCUGACAUCUUGCAAGUGCUCACAAACAAUUUAUGUUACACGUAUGUGUUUACUCCUUUCUCUAUAAUCUUGAAAUGGGGUGAAUAAAUAAUGCUUUAGAUCAGCACUAGCAAUUAUAUAGUAAUAAUUUUACUUUGUGGACAGGUAUGCGAGGUGUACCAAGUCCGUUUCCAUAGGUUUGUGAUGAUGUUUUUUUGUCUUGUUAAAUUUGUUGACUAAGGUUGGUUUUGACAGUAAUAUUUGGAUUAUAUGUUUGCAGUUCCUCCGGCGUACUAUGCUCACCUCGCUGCUUAUAGGGCACGCUAUUAUAUUGAGGAUGAGAUGUCGGAUAGUGGGUCUACUGGUGGAGGCCGAAAGCCGAAAGACAAGGUUGUAGAGGUUAGGCCGCUGCCCAGCAUAAAGGAUAAUGUGAAGGAAGUGAUGUUCUACGUCUGAUAAAUUAUGUUUGGUUGAUUGUGGGAAGUUGCGCAAGUAUAGUUGCACAGUUUGUGGAUGAUGGUGGAGUCUAAUUUUGGAGUUUUUGUUUUGGUGGUUGAGCGACUUGUUGUCUGAAGUUUGAAUUAUUAUAAAUCACACACUGUUUGUGGAUUACGAAAAUUACAUAAAUGUUCUUUAUUUUUAAGACAUGUUCUUAGAAAGGAGUUUUGGUAUCAUUCUUAAGCUUCUUUUAUAUCACCGAUUAAUACAAGAGACGAUGAAAUUUUAGAGAAUAAUGUCUUUUUAUUAAGAGUUUUUAAAUGUUCAGUACACAAAUGGUAAGAUACGCUCGGAAAUCCUCACUGCUCCUCCUUGCAACUCCAAUGAAUAAAAAAGCAAACCUAAUCAAUUUACUUUUUAAUUUACCAUUUUAAUAAACAUAGUAAAUACAAUUUUAUUAACUUAUUAAAUAAUUUUAUAAAUUUACAUAUUUUUAAUAAUUUCAUAAAAGUGUGAUAAUUUUAAAAACUUUUAUUAUAUAUAAUUUUUAAUCUAAUGUUUUCAAUAGUUAUAUUUUAUUAUCAUAUCACUUUACAAUUACGUUUGAAAUUAAAUAUACACCUCACCACUGUUUUUAUUCUCACUGCUAUUGCUGUUUUUAACUUUACCGAAGAUAAAUGUAUCGUCCAUCCCAAUUAAACCUUAGUCCAUUUAUAGUGGUUUUUUUACUUCGUUAAAGCUAGACAAACUAUGCCAUUAAAAUUUUAAUAGCUUAAGUUUAGAUUGGAUGAGCGAUGCGUUUAUUUUCGGUGAGAUUAAAAACAACAAUGGUAGUUAAAUUAGUUACUGUAGCGAUGAAAUUAGAUACUGUAGUAGUGAUAUUAGAAAUUGCGGUAAGGUGUGUGUUUAGAUUCAAACGCAACUAUAACGAUGAGUUGAGAAUAGAAAAUAACUAUUAAAGACAUUAGAUUUAUGAGUUCUCUCUCCUUUCAUCUUUUUUUUCACCCUUAAAUUCUGUUGAUGAAUAAAAAAUAUUCUUUAAAUAUCAAAGGAAAGCUCUCAUUUAAUCCUCUCAUCUGAUUGUAUGAAAACAGUUUUGUUCAUUCGUCAGUUAUUCUGCUCUAUCAUUGCUUUUAUCUGUUUCAUUUUUUUCCAAUCUAAAACUAAAAAAUAAGCACCAUCUUUUCCAUUCAUGAUGACACAGAAGGUGAAGAAAAUUAUAAAUUUUGAUUCAUCAAUGGGUAUGGGUGGUUAACCAAAAUAGAGAAGAUAAAAAAAGAAGAAGCAAUGUUUAAAAUAAAAGUCAUUUUCCUUUUUUUAAAAAUAUGGAUGAUUGAUAAUUUUAAAAAUAAUUUUCAUUAUUUUCACCAAAAUGUUUUGUAGAAUUAAAAAAGACGAGAACAAGAGUUUUUUAAUUUUAAAUGAACGAGUUCACAAUGGGUUCAAAUCCAUAUAAACACAAAAAAAUAAUUAUUUUUCAACAGUUUUUUUUUCUAAUAUUGAAUUCGAUACCCUGAUUUGAAUCCAUAUAAAUACAAAAUUUAUUUUAUUUUAUUAAAACAUGUUUUUAUUUCUAUUUAUCAAUUUUAAAAAAAAUAGAAAAUGAAAAUCAUGUUUCUAUUUACCAAAUAUUUCACAAAUUAAACUGACUUUAAUUGUUUAAAAAAAAGAAAAAAAAUUCUAUUAUUUUCUGGUGAAGUAGAAAUUAGGAAAGGGAAGGGAUGCUUGCUAUGGAAAUUGUGGAUGGAAAAAAGGAAGUUGUCAAUAAAGAAAAAAAAAAAUUUUUGGUAUUUUUUUAUGUCCGUUUUAUUGUUUAUGUUUGGGGUUCGUGGUUGUUCUUCUCAACAAUGUCAUCUUCAAUGUUUAAAUCUAUGUCUCAAAUUAAGAAUACAAUGUGCCUUACCAUUACACCCAACACUUGUUGGUAAAAAAAAAGUUUAAAAUUUAUAUGAUAUUUUAAAAACAUAUAGAUAAUUUAAUGGUAAAAUUAUAAUUUUAUUUUUUUGAAGGAUAAUGCUAAUAUUGUAAUUAUAUUUAUUAUUGUAAUUUUACAUAAAAAUUAAAUUAAUUAACUUGUAACAUCAACUAAGUUAAAUAUUUCUUUAAGUAUUAAAUUAUGUAAAAAAUAUAUUAAUAAAUAGGUGAAAUGAGGUUUUGGUUGAACCUGAUUUCUUAAGUUUAACCCUUACUACCCUAACUCAACGACAUUAUUUUUUGAAAGAACUCGAUCAAGAUUGCUUUUUCCGUAGUUACUUUUCCUUAAAAAAACCCAAGGGAAAGUUUAACUGUUAAUGAUUUGCUUAAAUGAGUUGGGCUUUUUGUUAUUUAUUGUCUCGUUAAUUUUUAUUUUCAUUGGAUUUUAAUGUGUAUUUUCCUUUUCUGUUUUCUUAUUUAUUUACUUGUCUCUUUGUCCAUCUCUGUUACUUGCAUCUUCUUCUCGUCUCUUUUGAUGGCCUUUGGUGCUUCAUUGCUUAUAGGUUACUGUAACGCCUGAGGUAACCGCAAAAAAGGUUAACAGAGCAAUAAUGAAGCAACUUAUUGAUGUAUACAAAGAGUCGCAUCUUGGACGUCGGUGUCCAGCUUAUGAUGGCAGGAAGAGUUUGUACACUGCUGGUCCUCUUCCCUUCGAGUCAAAGGAGCUUGUUAUCAAGCUACCUGAGGAAGAUCGCAGUGCUGGUUCGUCUAGGCCUGCGCGGUAAUAUUAUUGUAUCCUAUGAUGGUCUCUUGACAUUUUACAUUAUAUCCGAUGUCAUAAUUGCUUACCUCUGAUCUUUCUGGUUGCCUGUCACUGCAGGAAGGAGCGACAAUUUAAGGUUGCAAUCAAACUGGCCUCCAAGCCAGACCUUCAUUAUCUCAGGGAGUUUUUGAGCAGAAAGCAUUUUGAAUGUCCUCAAGAAGCUAUUCAAGUUCUGGAUGUUGUUCUUAGAGCUAAACCAUCUCAGAUGUAACUGCCUGUUGAUUAAUGUUAAACAUUUCUGGCUAUUAAAUUGUUGAAACCAUUUUAUAUGACAUCAAAUUAAUACAUUUGAAACAUCAUUUGGCAGAUAUACUGAGGUGGGAAGGUCUUUUUUCUAUACAUCAUUAGGUCCUAGAGGAGAACUUGGUAAUGGAACAGAAUACUGGUCUGGAUAUUAUCAGAGUCUUCGACCCACUCAGAUGGGUUUAUCUCUUAAUAUUGGUAGGUACUUUGAUUGCUCAGUUUGUGUAGCCACUUUGUUCCUAAUGUUUCAGUAUGAAGAUUUACUGGUUUUGCUUUGCAGAUGUGUCUGCUCGAUCAUUCUAUGAGCCAAUUUUAGUUUCAGAGUUUGUUGUGAAACAUUUCCGACGAUCAAACCUGUCAAAGCCGCUGUCUGAUCAAGAUCGUAUUAAAGUACGUAUAUAUUGAAUUCAGUGUUUAUUAAUCAAAACUUGCAGAAUUUUUUUGCAAUGCUUCUUUUGCCGUAUUUUUUAGGUGAAAAAGGCCUUGAAGGGAGUAAGAGUUAGGCUCAUCUACAUGGAUUAUGCCAAAACUUGCAAGAUUAUUGGAGUAUCUAGAGACCCUAUAAGCCAGUUGACGUGAGUUUGUUGUUAUAAUACUAUACCUGCUCAUAAAUAUUUUUAGUAAGCUACUUUUAUGUGGCCUGUGUGGUAGAAUUGUUUUUGGGUUAUUUGUAGUCUUGUAUUCACUACUUAUCUAAGUUACAUCUUAAAAUUGAGUUGGUUUUAUUUUUAUUUUUUGCAGUUGACAGUUUUUAGUAUUUGGCUUGGUUAUGUCUUGUUCUAAAAUAUUGUUUAUGCUUAUACAUUUGUAAAAUCUUGUGCUUAUGGUACAUUUGUACCAUUCUGUCUCAUUAUGUUUCUGUUCAAUUUUUGGCUGUUUUAGAUUUCCUCUUGAUGAUAAGAGAACAAAUGUCUCUGUGGUCAAGUAUUUCCGUGAGAAAUACAAUGUUGUGCUUAAAUAUCCAUCCUUGCCUGCACUUCAAAGUGGAAGUGAAGCUAGACCUGUCUACCUGCCAAUGGAGGUUUUUACUUUAUAUCAAGAUGAUCUUGUUUUUGUUUUCUUUUUGUUUGUUACUGAUUCUCCUGUAUGAUUUUGUUUUACAGCUUUGUAGUAUCGUUGAGGGUCAAAGAUACACAAAAAAACUAAAUGAACAACAAGUUAGAUCUCUGCUGAGAGCAACUUGUCAACGUCCGAACAUUAGGGAGGGGAAUAUUACAAAGGUACUACAGUUUUGGAUGCUUAUUAUUUUUUAAAUUGGUUGAUAAGAUGAGAAUUUUGAUUCAUUGGCAUUUCAUGUUUCUGCAGAUGGUCCAGGUCAAUAAUUUUGAGGUGGAGGAGCUUGUUACUAAAGAAUUUGGAAUGCAUGUUCGCAAAGAACUUGCAUUGAUUAAUGCACAAGUUCUAAAUCCUCCAGUGGUACUUUUAAGCCAAUAUGUUAUAUUUUCAAGGAUACUGUCAGUCUUAUAAUACGAUUAAUGUCUGUUUUGGUUGCUGCAGCUAAAGUAUCACGAUAGUGGACGUGACAAAAUCGUUAAUCCUAGUUGCGGGCAAUGGAACAUGAUCAACAAGGUGGUAUUUUUUUUUCUUCCCCUCUUCUUUGAAGUGGCAUUGUUUGUAAAAUUUAAGGAAUCAGACCUGUCUCUUCAGUCUCCUCUUGUUCCAGAGUUCUUGUUCAUUUUUUCAAUUCAUUUUUAAGGUAGCUAUAAGUCUUUUGGGAAAAUUUUGAUAGGUUUUAAGGUUCAACAGUUUUUUUUUUUUUUUUGCAGAAAAUGGUCAAUUGGGGUAAAGUCGAUUUCUGGUCUUGUGUGAACUUCUCCUCGGAAUAUUGGAAUAUGUCAGAAGAGUUCUGUGCGGAGCUGGUGAAUAUGUGUAACAACAAAGGAAUGGUAUGCUGUGUGGUUUUUUUUAGUGUAGGUGGAUGGUAUAUCUGUUAUUUAUUUAUCACUAGCAUGAUUUCCCAUUUUGUGACUCUAGGUGUUUUGCCAAACUCCUUCAAUUGCAAUGCGAUCAGCUUGUGCUGACCGAAUUGAUCAGAUUCUCAUGGAUGUAUACAAAGAGUCUGCAGGCUUGAAUAAGCCACUUCAGUUGUUGAUAAUUAUCUUACCUGAUCAGACUGGCUCUUACGGUAAGAAAUUCUGAUGUUUUGUAAAUAGGUAAUUCCUGGGGUUUCUUUGCGCGACUCAAAUCUUUUUGCUUGCAGGAAAAAUAAAGCGAAUUUGUGAGACGGAGCUAGGUAUUGUUUCACAAUGUUGUAAGCCUGUGCAAGCUGCAAAGUUUAGCAACCAAUAUUUUGAAAAUGUUGCUCUCAAGAUCAAUGCUAAGGUAUGUGUUUUGCCUCACUGGUGGUGAUUUGAUAUAGUGUUUUCUUGUCUUGUUAUCUUAAUUCAUUUGAGAAUUGUAAAUUCUGUAGGUUGGGGGGCGAAAUACUGUGCUGAACGAUGCUAUUUUAAGGAGAAUUCCGCUUGUGACUGAUGUCCCUACAAUCAUUUUUGGGGCAGAUGUCACUCAUCCGCCGCCUGGCGAAGACUCUAGUUCUUCUAUAGCUGCAGUAAGCAUAUUCAUUGUUCUCUACAUCCCCAUUUUGUUACUUGAUCAUAUUUAAGAGGUUAUUGGCUGGAUGCAGGUCGUUGCUUCAAUGGAUUGGCCUGAGGUAACCAAGUAUCGUGGAAUUGUCUCUGCACAGACUCACCGGAUGGAAAUAAUCCAGGAUCUUUAUAAACAAACAAAGGAUCCACAGAAGGGUUUAGUUGAGGGUGGAAUGGUUAGGUAGGGAGAUAGAUUUAUUUCGGGCUUAAUUUUUUAGUUUCUUCUGGACGUGCUCUACUUUCUUAACAUUUCAAGUUCUCUGCAGGGAAUUGCUUGUUGCUUUCUUCAAGUCAACAAGACAAAAGCCUUCUAGAAUUAUCUUCUAUAGGUAAUGUUUGCUUUUGACCAUCCAAAUAUAUGUAUAUACUUCUAGCAGCAGUGCUGACAUCUGAUUUUUGAUGUGGCAGAGGUGGUGUUAGUGAAGGACAAUUCAGCCAAGUUUUGCUUUAUGAAAUGGAUGCGAUUUGGAAGGUAUUGAAAUCACUGUAUAAUGUCUAUUAUAGUUGGUUCACUGUAUAAUGGAUGCUUCUGACCCCUGCAGUUUUCUUCCUUCCAGGCUUGUUCCUCGCUACAGGAAGGAUAUAUGCCUCGGGUUACAUUUGUUGUGGUUCAAAAGAGGCAUCAUACUCGCUUAUUCCCUACUGAUCGCAACAAAACUGAUGGGAGUGGCAACAUAUUACCAGGUGAUUCUAAUCUUAUAAUAGGGAUUUGAUCGUAUUCUCUUGAUCUUCAUUUUGUUAGCAUAUUUUAAUGUAGCCAAUAAAUUUUAGGUACUGUUGUGGAUACUAGCAUCUGUCAUCCAACCGAGUUUGAUUUUUAUCUCAAUAGUCAUGCUGGAAUCCUGGUUAAAUGAGGCUUCCCUUGAAGUGUGAUGGUUUUUAUGUUAAUUUUGUCCGAUCUGAUACUGAUGUUGUUGUGUAGGGGACAAGCAAGGCCACACGUUACCACGUUUUGUUUGAUGAAAAUGGCUUCAGUGCUGACAUCUUGCAAGUGCUCACAAACAGUUUAUGUUACACGUAUGUGUUUACUCCUUUCUCUAUAAUCCUGUAAUGGGGUGAAUAAAUAAUGCUUUAGAUCAGCACUAGUAAUUAUAUAGUAAUAAUUUUACUUUGUGGAUAGGUAUGCGAGGUGUACCAAGUCCGUUUCCAUAGGUUUGUGAUGAUGUUUUUUUGUCUUGUUAAAUUUGUUAACUUAAGGUUGGUUUUGACAGUGAAUAUUUGAAUUAUAUGUUUGCAGUGCCUCCGGCAUACUAUGCUCACCUCGCUGCUUAUAGGGCACGCUAUUAUAUUGAGGAUGAGAUGUCGGAUAGUGGGUCUACUGGUGGAGGCCGAAAGCCGAAAGACAAGGUUGUAGAGUUUAGGCCGCUCCCCAGCAUAAAGGACAAUGUGAAGGAAGUGUUUGGUUGGUGGAAAGUUGCGCAAGUAUAGUUGCACAGUUUGUGGAUGAUGGUGGAGUCUUGUUGAUUCCAUUGGUGGACUUUGUAAUUAUUUAAUUUUGGAGUUUCUGUUUUGGUGGUUGAGCGAAUUGUCGUCUGAAGUUUGGAUUACCAUAAUGCACACACUGUUUGUGGAUUACGAAAAUUUCAGAAAUGUCCUGUAUUUUCAAGAAAAGUUCUUAGAAAGGAUUUUUAGUAUUAUUUUUAAGUUUCUUUUAGAUCACCAAUUAAUACAAGUGAUGAUGAAAUUUUAAAGAAUAAUGUCUUUUUACUAGAGUUUUUACAUGUUCAGAACACAAAUGGUAAGGUGCGUUCGGAAAUCCUCCCUGCACCUCCCUGCAACUCCAAUUUUCUACCGGAGUUUAAGCUCCAAUGAAAAUAAAAGCAACCCUAAUCAAAUUUGUUUUUUUUUUAAUUUAAAAUUUUAAUAAAUAUAAUAAAUACAAUUUUAAUAUUUUAUUAAAUAUUUUUAUAAAUUUACAUAUUUUUAAUAAUUUCAUAAGAGUUAGAAACUUUUAUUAUAUAUAAUUUUUAAUCUAAUGCUUUCAAUAGUUAUAUUUCAUUAUCACCUCACCGUUACAACUACGUUUGAAAUUAAAUACACGCUUCACCAUUGUUUUUAUUCUCAAUGCUAUUGUUGUUUUUAAUCUUACCGAAGAUAAAUGCAUUAUCCAUUCCAAUUAAAUCUCAGUCCACUUAUAGUGUUUUUUACUUCGUUAAAGGAGGACAAACCAUGCAAAGUUUUAAUAGUUUAAGCUUAGUUUAGAUGAGCGGUGCGUUUACUUUCAGUGAGAUUAACAACAACAAUGAUAGUGAGAUUAGUUACUGUAACGACCCAAAAUCCGUGGGCACCGAAAAAGUGUGUGUAUUAUCGGGCCUCCGUCUUAGUGAAUUGAGUUCGAAAAUAAUUAUUAGAAAUAUUUACGAGAUUAGUUGUGUGUUUAAUUAGGUUUUAGAUAGGUGAAUUUAGUUUAAUUAAGAAUAAUUAGGAAAGAGGAUCAAAUUGAAUAAAGAGUGAAAGUCUAAUUAUAGAUUAAAAGAAAGUUAAAAGGACUAAAUAGGCAAAUAUGCCAAGUCCCAUAAGUGGGGUGGCAUAUAUGCAUUAAAUUCAAUAUUUUGUUUAAGUUAUAUAUAUAAAUAUUAUAUGUAUAUAAAUAUUAUAAUUAUUUAUUUAAAUGGUAAUUUAUUUUAAUUAUAUUAUUUUAUUAUGGAAUAAAUUAAAAUUAAGACAAAUGUAUGGUGAGAAGAUGGUACAAGUGUAAUAAUAAUAUAUAUACACUUGUAUUAUAAUUAUUAUUUACUUCAAAUUUAAGUAAAAGAUAUUAAUUAACUAAAUAAUUAUAUAAUGAGAUUUUUUUUAUUGAUAAACAAAUUAAGUAGUGACAAUUGUAAGAUUAUGAUGUGGUACAAAUGUAUUAAUUAUAUUUGUUAUUAAAAUAGAUAUUUUAUAAAUAAUAAUUAAUUAAACAUAAAAGGAAAUAAAAACAAAGCAAAAGGAAAGAAACAGAAUAGAAAGAACAAAGAAACAGAGAAGCAAACGAAAUAGGGGAAAGAAAGAAGAAAAAGAAAGAAAAAGGGAAAAUAGGGUUUUUAAAGCUUGGAAUUUAAUUUGGUAAGUCAAUCAAGUCCUUUUCUUUUAAUUUAGAUGUUUUAGAAGUUAGUUUUGUUAAAAAUAAGUUGAGGUUUUGGAAGUUUAUAGAUUAUUAAGCAGGUUCAUGUUGAAUAAAUUGUUAAAUUAGGGAUGUAUUUGAUAGAAAUUUUGAUUGGAAUUGAAUAAAGGAUUGAAUUGUAAACUAAACUAUAAGUUUUUAAUUUUAGGGAUUAAAUUGAAAUAAAUUCGAAAUUAUGAAAAUAUGAUAAAAAUUAGAUAGUUACAUAUGAGUUUGGCAAGAAAUUGAGUAGCAAGAAGGUAUGAAUUGAGAAAGAAAAAUAUAUAGAUUUAGUUAGGAUUAAAUUGAAAUUAAAGUAAAAGUUAGAUAAAAAUUUCAGCAAGUAAAUUGUGUUGUGCUAAUGAUUAUGAAAAUUAUCUUACUUUCUUUUCGUAGCUAAUAUCGCACCCGAGGCAUCCACGAGGAAAGGAAAAGAAAAAGUGGACGAGGAAUAGACACGGGAAUUAUGGUUUGUAUCACUAUAAUUCAAACUUUAUUAUUAUUAAGUGUUUAAUUUGCUAAUUAUGUGUGGUAAGUAUUUUAAGGUAAAAGUUUAAUAAAUAAUAAAUUUAUAAUGUAGUAAUGAAAUUGAAACUGAUACUGAACCGAGUUAUGGAAUACUGGAUAUUGUUUUGAUUACUGAGUGAAUUGUGAAAAUACUGAAUAUUGUUAUGUAUAAUGCAUUGAAUUGUGAAAUUACUGAAGUAAAGAAUUACUGUGAUACUGUGAAACCGAUUGAAAUAAGGAAUUAUAAUUGAUACUGAAUUAAGAUGAAAUUUAUACUGAAAAGUGAAUUAAAUACCCUAUUAACUAGUCGGGCUAGUCGGAUAUAGUUGGCAUGCCAUAAGAUAUGGAAGUGUGCGGGGUAUUUGCCGGCUUACUGAUCAGGCACUUAUGUGCCGACUGCUGUUACUGUUACUGAUUCGGCACUUUGUGUGUCGAAUACUGUUACCGUUACUGUUACAGAUUCAGCACUUUGUGUGUUGAAUACUGUUACUGUUACUGUUACUUUUACCGUUACUGAUUACUGUAUACUGGUGUGUUUGGUUAGAAUCCGUGUAUCCGCCGAGUCCGAGUCGAGUUAAUAGGGGCAAAUGAAAUAAAUUGACUGAUAAAAUUAAAUUGAGUGAUAUAGUAUAUGUGAAAAGUGAAAUUUGAAACAAAGAAAUAAGAAUGAUAAUUAUAUAUAUAUAUAUAUAUAUAUAUAAUUGAUAAUAUAAAAAGGUUGAAUUGUUUAUUAGUAGUGAUAAUUGUAAUAAAAAGUAUGUGUGUGAUUUAAUGUAUUUAAUUAUAAAUUGAAUUAUAGUGAUACCAUUGAGUAUAUGCAUACUCAGCGUACGGUUGUUUCCGUGCGCAGGUUGUAGAAGUCAAGUACUGAACCAGCAUCCAAAGCUAGAUCCGACUUUAGCAAACAUUUUGGUGAUGCAUAUUUUCUUUUGGUAAUGUGGCAUGUACAUAGGAUGUGUAUAAAGGUUAUUAUGUUUUAAUAUAAACGGUUGAAAAUGUUAGUAUUAUAAGUUUAUGAAUUAUAAUGACAGAAGUUUAUCUAUAUUUAUUUAAUUUAAUAUAUUGUUAAAUUUAAAUUGAUAUUAUGUUGAUUAAUUUGAUUAGAAAGUAAUUGGGAUAGAAAUCGGGAAUGUGAAAUGAAUUGGUUGAAUUGGUUGUGAUUUGAAAAUGAAAUGGUUUUUAAUUGUAGGGGGUUUUAUGUAAAAACAAGCAGAAAUGUUGCCGAAAUUUAAAAAAAAAAUUUAAAAAAAUGAAUGAAGUCAAUUACUAAAAUAUUAUAUGAAUUUAUGAUUUUAUCUUAAUGUGUUUAAUAUUUAUUUAAGAAUUAUCGUAAAUUAUCUGAUAUGUCCGGUAAUGUCUCGUAACUCUAUUCCGGCGACGGUUUGGGGUUAGGGGGUGUUACAGUUACUAUGGCGAUGAAAUUAGAUAUUGUAGUAGUGAGAUUAAAAAUUGCGGCAGAGUGUGUGUUUGGAUUCAAAUGCAACUAUAACGAUGAGUUGAGAAUAGAAAAUGACUAUUAAAGACAUUAGAUUUACGAGUUCUCUCUCAUUUCAUUUUUUCCCCCUCAAAUUCUGUUGAUGAAUAAAAAUCUUCUUAAAAUAUCAAAGGAAAACCUCUCAUUUAAUCCUCUCAUCUGAUUGUAUGAAAAUGGUUUUGUUCAUUCAUCAGCUAUUCUGCUCUAUCAUUGCUUUUAUCUGUUUUAUUUUUUUUCAAUUUAAAACUAAAAAAUAAGCACCAUCUUUUCCAUUCAUGAUGACACAGAAGGUAAAAAAAAUUAUAAAUUUUGAUUCAUCAAUGGGUAUGGGUGGUUAACCAAAAUAGAGAAGAUAAAAAAAAAGGUAAUGUUUAAAAUAAGUCAUUUUCCCUUUUUAGAAAAAUGAAUGAUUGAUAAUUUUAAAAAUAAUUUUCAUUAUUUUCACCACAAUGUUUUGUAGAAUUAGAAAAGACGAGAACAAGAGUUUUUUAAUUUUAAAUGAACGAAUUCACAUUGGUUCAAAUCCAUAUAAACACAAAAAAUAUUUAUUUUUCAACCAUUUUUUUCUAAUAUUGAUUUCGGUACCCUAUUCGGAUCCAUAUAAAUAUAAAAUUUAUUUUAUUUUAUUAAAAUAAAAACAUGUUUUUUAUUUCUAUUUACCAAAUAUUUCAUAAAUUAAACUGACUUCUAUUAUUUUCUGGUGAAGUAGAAAUUAGGAGAGGGAAGGGAAUGCUUGCUAUGGAAAUUGGGAUGGAAAAAAAAGAAGUUAUAGUUAAUAAAGAAAAAAAAAGAUUAUCUAUUUUGGUAUUGUUUAUGUCCGUUUUACUGUUUAUAUUUAGGGUUCGUGAUUGUUAUUCUUAACAAUGUCAUCUCUAAGAUUUAAAUCAGUCUUAAAUUAGGAAUAUAAUGUGCCUUACAAGUACAUCCAACACUUGUUGAUAAAUAAAUUAAUAAAUAGUGUAAAAUUUAUAUGAUAUUUUAAAAACAUAUAUAAUUCAAUGGUAAAAUUGUAAUUUUAUUUUUUGAAAGAUAAUGCUAAUAUUGUAAUUAUAUUUAUUAUUUAUUAUUGUAAAUUUACAUAAAAAAAUUAUCUAAUUAACUUGUAACAUAAGCUAAGUUAAAUGUUUUUUUAAGUAUUAAAUUAUGUUACAAACAUGAUGACAAUGUAAAAGAUUAUGUAAAAAAUAUAUUAAUAAAAAGGUUGAAAUGAUUAAUUUGAACCUUACUACACUAACUCAAUGAAAUUCUUUUUUGAAAGAACUCGAUCAAGAAUUUAAAUAAUAAUAUAUAUGUGUAAAUAUAAGUUACCAUGCAAAUUUGAGUUAACUGUACUAAAUGUCUCCAUAUUAUAAUCUUCAUUUUAAAUUAGUCCCUGAACUUCAAAUCAUUCUACUUACAUCUUUAAACUAUCGAUGUUAUAUCAAUUGGGUCAAUUUGUUACUAAAAUUAUUAAUUUAACUAUUAAAUGACACACUAAAUUUUAUAAAAACAAUGAUUAUUGUAAAAAUAAAUAUUUUAAAAAUAUUAAUUUUGAUAUUUUUAAAGCUUUCACAAAAGUUUUAUCAUUCAUUCUUUUUAUUUUUUGUUCUUACUUUUUAAAAUUUUGCAAUAACAUUUUACUUUUUUUAAAAUUGAUUUUAAAUUUAACUGUAUAAAAUUUUACAAAAAGACUUAUCCUCUAUUGGUUACUUAAAAGUAAAACAAACUGACACAAAAUUCAAAAGAAAAAAAAAGGAGGGCAUAAAGUAACAAAUGCAAGAAGGCUAACAAAGCUUCUUGGAGAAGAAUUGACUUGAAAUAAUCCAGUGUGCUUCUAGUAUAAAAAGGGCUCAUUCAUUCCUAGUCGCUCUCUAUACUCAGGUGUGUCGUUUGUUUCAUUUUUUUUCCCUUCUGUUUUGGAGUUUUUGAAAUUUUCAUCUGUUUGCUUAGUUUCCCAAAUUUCAGGCAAUGUCUGGUCGAGGCGGUGGUGGACGUGGCAGUGGUCGGGGUGGUGGUCGACGUGGCCGGGGGCAGGACCAUGGUCGCGGCCAACCUUCACAGUCUUCCUCUCGCGGCGGCGGCGGUAGAGCAAGAGGCCGUGGAUCAUCUGGUUCUACUGCAACUUAUAACCCCCCUCCUCCUCAGAUGGCUCCGGCUCAGCCGCCUCCUCAAAUGGCUGUAGCUCCGCCAGUUCCUCCAUCGGGGGCUGCUUUUUCUCAUCCUUCUUCAAGUUCUGGUGUAGGAUCACUUUCCAGAGAGGUAUCGGAGAAGCUUACAAUGGAGCCGGUGGCUGUGACUACGGCGCCUCCUCUUCCUCCGUCGUUGUCAAAGGCGACUAGGCCCCCUCCAAGACCGGGGUUCGGCACGGUUGGUACAAAAUGUCUGGUUAGAGCCAACCAUUUUCUCAUAGAUGUUGCUAAUGCCGAUCUUUAUCACUACGAUGCCGAUCUUCA
rnacentral:lncRNA from 1 species